rnacentral:rRNA from 1 species
CACGUACUGUGCGAACGUUAUUCGGAAUCACUGGGCGUAAAGGGUGCGUAGGCGGUCGGGUAAGUCUGACGUGAAAUCUUCAAGCUCAACUUGGAAACUGCGUCCGAUACUAUUCGGCUAGAGGAAUGGAGGGGAGACUGGAAUACUUGGUGUAGCAGUGAAAUGCGUAGAUAUCAAGUGGAACACCAGUGGCGAAGGCGAGUCUCUGGACAUUUCCUGACGCUGAGGCACGAAAGCCAGGGGAGCAAACGGG